CUACGGGGCGCAGCAGUGGGGAAUAUUGCACAAUGGGCGCAAGCCUGAUGCAGCCAUGCCGCGUGUAUGAAGAAGGCCUUCGGGUUGUAAAGUACUUUCAGCGGGGAGGAAGGGAGUAAAGUUAAUACCUUUGCUCAUUGACGUUACCCGCAGAAGAAGCACCGGCUAACUCCGUGCCAGCAGCCGCGGUAAUACGGAGGGUGCAAGCGUUAAUCGGAAUUACUGGGCGUAAAGCGCACGCAGGCGGUUUGUUAAGUCAGAUGUGAAAUCCCCGGGCUCAACCUGGGAACUGCAUCUGAUACUGGCAAGCUUGAGUCUCGUAGAGGGGGGUAGAAUUCCAGGUGUAGCGGUGAGAUGCGUAGAGAUCUGGAGGAAUACCGGUGGCGAAGGCAGCCCCCUGGACGAAGACUGACGCUCAGGUGCGAAAGCGUGGGGAGCAAACAGGAUUAGAUACCCCCGUAGUC
rnacentral:rRNA from 1 species